rnacentral:misc_RNA from 1 species
AAGUCGUAACAAGGUUUCCGUAGGUGAACCUGCGGAAGGAUCAUUACCGAGUAAUCCUGCUUCAGGAACUCCCUCCCUUGUACAUUGACGGUUGCUUCGGCGAGACGCUGGAAACAGCCACUGGGACGUCCAGUCGACGUCCCAGCGCGGGCUCGCCGGAGAAUACAUACUCUGAGAUUAUGUAUGGUCGGAGCACCAAGCAAUAUAUCAAAACUUUCAACAACGGAUCUCUUGGUUUUG